UAGGACUAAUCUGAGGGGCUUGUGAGCCUACCUCAUCGGGGACGGCGUGGCAGCGCCCGAUGGACAGGCCUGAGCCCUGAGCACCUGCAGCCCAUGGAGGGAGGACUCCAGAACAUGACUCAUCCUGGCGCAUCCCCAAGGAGGCAGGACCCAUCGUGGCCUUCAGGAGACCCUCCAGGACCGCAUAGCCCAGGACUCUCGCCUUCUUCCUGCCUCCUCGUCCUGCAGGCGACCCCUGAAAGUCACGUGAUUCUGCCUUCCUCAGGUCAGUGCUGCAUUUUGAACCUUGAAAGUCAGGGCUCCCCCUUCCCCCAGACACCCCCCAGGCCUGGGCACGUCUGAAGUGGGACACGCGUGUAUGCAGGCACACACAUGCACGCACACCCACACAGCUUGUGGAGGACUGAGGAGCAGGGCAGGCUCAGCUGGGUCUGCUCAGGCCUCGGACCUGACCUGCCACCAGCCUCUUUCUAUAGCCAAGGGACCAAGGUCUGCCAGGAGUCAGGGGCUUGCCCAGGACUCUUGCCCCAGGAAGCUGGACUUGGGCCCGUCUUUCCGGCUCCCUUCUGCACAGAAGUUGAGUGCAGC
rnacentral:lncRNA from 1 species